UUGACAGACUGUUCCAUCGUUUCCGCCUAUGGCGGAGAAGGAAAGUCGGGACAGCACAGGGCGCCUUACUUCCUAACGGGAAGGGUUCCGCCUCAGGCGGGAUACAGCAAGUGCCACAGAAAAUAACCGUCCGCCUCAGGCGGAUAAGGGUGAAAACGUGAGGUAAGAGCUCACGCAAUAUGGUGGUAACAUCAUAUUGGGGUAAACCUUAGGGGCUGCAAGAUCAAAUAUACCGGCAUUUCCGCUACGGCGGAAUAAGGGCUGCCCGUCUGAUGCCGGAGGGUAGAUUGCUAAAGUUGCAUGGUGACAUGUAACGCAGAUAAAUGAUGGAAUCCAUCCGCCUUAGGCGGAGAGGAACAGAAUCCCGCUUAUAGGUCUGUCGAAUCC
rnacentral:RNase_P_RNA from 1 species